GGAGUGCGAUAAGUGUCACGACUUGCAGAACCCCGAGAGCUGACAAAUCUCUGAAUGCAAAUUGCGGCCACCUUUUUGCGGUGGUCAUGUAUCGCAGAGUGUAGUUGUUCAUACUCAUCAUCCUGCUGUCUGCCCAAAUUGCAGGCUGUAGGGAUCUGCGCUUGCUGAUUCGCGAGUGUCAAAACCCAGAGUAGAAGCCGAAUGCGCGCCACCGCGCUUCGCUUCUGACUUCGAACGCUCACACGUGUGAAGUCUGUACGCUCUGUACAUAAUUCUCUAAAUCACCUCUGCGAUGCAGGAAAACCCGCUGAACUUAA
rnacentral:misc_RNA from 1 species